rnacentral:rRNA from 1 species
UACGAAGGGUGCAAGCGUUACUCGGAAUUACUGGGCGUAAAGGGCGUGCAGGCGGUUUGUUAAGUGCAGGGUGAAAGCUCCCGGCUCAACUGGGAGAGGUCCUUGCAUACUGGCGAACUCGAGGGAGGCAGAGGAAAGUGGAAUUCCCGGUGUAGUGGUGAUAUGCGUAGAUAUCGGGAGGAACACCUGUGGCGAAGGCGGCUUUCUGGGCCUUACCUGACGCUGAGACGCGAAAGCGUGGGGAGCGAACCGG